UGGGUGUUUGCGAGCCUGAUUGCUAUCAUG
rnacentral:piRNA from 1 species